rnacentral:rRNA from 1 species
CACUCCUACGGGAGGCAGCAGUGGGGAAUAUUGGACAAUGGGCGCAAGCCUGAUCCAGCCAUGCCGCGUGAGUGAUGAAGGCCCUAGGGUUGUAAAGCUCUUUCACCGGUGAAGAUAAUGACGGUAACCGGAGAAGAAGCCCCGGCUAACUUCGUGCCAGCAGCCGCGGUAAUACGAAGGGGGCUAGCGUUGUUCGGAUUUACUGGGCGUAAAGCGCACGUAGGCGGACUAUUAAGUCAGGGGUGAAAUCCCGGGGCUCAACCCCGGAACUGCCUUUGAUACUGGUAGUCGUGAGUUCGAGAGAGGUGAGUGGAAUUCCGAGUGUAGAGGUGAAAUUCGUAGAUAUUCGGAGGAACACCAGUGGCGAAGGCGGCUCACUGGCUCGAUACUGACGCUGAGGUGCGAAAGCGUGGGGAGCAAACAGGAUUAGAAACCCCGGUAGUCCCAU